CUUUGAGUCAAGAUGUAGAACUCUCAGCUGCUUCUCUAGCACCGUGUCUGCCUGCACGCUGCCUUGCUACCUGCCAUGACGAUGAUGGACUAAACCUCUGAACUAACCCCAAAAGAACCCACCAACAAAGAGACGACUCACCAAAUGCAUGGACAAAGAUUUCUUUAUUGACUCGAGGAUACGAGCUGCAGCAAGGACCCCAUUCGUUCGGGAACAAAUGGAGUAUCCACUUUCAACGUAGGGCUGUUUUUAUAAGGGAAAAUUGUGGGGCUGGGAGCCCCAAGAUUACAAAACUUCGGUGGGUUACACAGGACAGGACAAUGGUCGUAUGCUUCAGGCAAGGUGCAAUUAAGCAGGAUGCUGCAGAGGAAAUAAGUUUGUUAAUUGUCUCCUGG
rnacentral:lncRNA from 1 species